rnacentral:rRNA from 1 species
CUGAAACCGUGUACGUACAAGCAGUGGGAGCACGCUUAGGCGUGUGACUGCGUACCUUUUGUAUAAUGGGUCAGCGACUUAUAUUCUGUAGCAAGGUUAACCGAAUAGGGGAGCCGAAGGGAAACCGAGUCUUAACUGGGCGUUAAGUUGCAGGGUAUAGACCCGAAACCCGGUGAUCUAGCCAUGGGCAGGUUGAAGGUUGGGUAACACUAACUGGAGGACCGAACCGACUAAUGUUGAAAAAUUAGCGGAUGACUUGUGGCUGGGGGUGAAAGGCCAAUCAAACCGGGAGAUAGCUGGUUCUCCCCGAAAGCUAUUUAGGUAGCGCCUCGUGAAUUCAUCUCCGGGGGUAGAGCACUGUUUCGGCAAGGGGGUCAUCCCGACUUACCAACCCGAUGCAAACUGCGAAUACCGGAGAAUGUUAUCACGGGAGACACACGGCGGGUGCUAACGUCCGUCGUGAAGAGGGAAACAACCCAGACCGCCAGCUAAGGUCCCAAAGUCAUGGUUAAGUGGGAAACGAUGUGGGAAGGCCCAGACAGCCAGGAUGUUGGCUUAGAAGCAGCCAUCAUUUAAAGAAAGCGUAAUAGCUCACUGGUCGAGUCGGCCUGCGCGGAAGAUGUAACGGGGCUAAACCAUGCACCGAAGCUGCGGCAGCGACGCUGAUGCGUUGUUGGGUAGGGGAGCGUUCUGUAAGCCUGUGAAGGUGUGCUGUGAGGCAUGCUGGAGGUAUCAGAAGUGCGAAUGCUGACAUAAGUAACGAUAAAGCGGGUGAAAAGCCCGCUCGCCGGAAGACCAAGGGUUCCUGUCCAACGUUAAUCGGGGCAGGGUGAGUCGACCCCUAAGGCGAGGCCGAAAGGCGUAGUCGAUGGGAAACAGGUUAAUAUUCCUGUACUUGGUGUUACUGCGAAGGGGGGACGGAGAAGGCUAUGUUGGCCGGGCGACGGUUGUCCCGGUUUAAGCGUGUAGGCUGGUUUUCCAGGCAAAUCCGGAAAAUCAAGGCUGAGGCGUGAUGACGAGGCACUACGGUGCUGAAGCAACAAAUGCCCUGCUUCCAGGAAAAGCCUCUAAGCAUCAGGUAACAUCAAAUCGUACCCCAAACCGACACAGGUGGUCAGGUAGAGAAUACCAAGGCGCUUGAGAGAACUCGGGUGAAGGAACUAGGCAAAAUGGUGCCGUAACUUCGGGAGAAGG